GAAGACAGCCGAAGGGGUAGUACAUUUCUUUUCUGUCAGAAGAAUAAGCUGGUCGAGACGAGUGACGCCGCUAUGACAGGAAUAAGCAUCGGCUAACUCCCCAGCAGCAGCCGUAAUAAUAAGGAGGCUGCAAUCGUCAUCAUUUUUUAGUGGUUUUAAAGGGUUAGCAGGGUGUUCAAUUAGUCAGUGAAAUAAGUGGGUUCAUUAACGGUAGGACAUUCAAAGAUACUUUUGGACUUGAAUAGAGAGGCGGUAGGAAUAAUUAGUAUAGUAGCGGUGAAAUGCAUAGAUAUUACACACAACACUGAUUAAGAAGGCAGCUUAGAAAUCCAUCAUCGACGAUGAGGCAAAAAAGCGGGAGCAUCAAACAGGAGAAGACACCGUGGUAGUCCCCGCAAUAAACGAAGAUCA
rnacentral:rRNA from 1 species